rnacentral:rRNA from 1 species
CCAGACUCCUACGGGAGGCAGCAGUGGGGAAUAUUGCACAAUGGGGGGAACCCUGAUGCAGCGACGCCGCGUGGGUGAAGGAGUAUUUCGGUAUGUAAAGCCCUAUCAGCAGGGAAGAACAAUGACGGUACCUGACUAAGAAGCACCGGCUAAAUACGUGCCAGCAGCCGUGGUAAUACGUAUGGUGCAAGCGUUAUCCGGAUUUACUGGGUGUAAAGGGAGCGCAGGCGGCGCGUUAAGCCUGGUGUGAAAGCCCGGGGCCCAACCCCGGGACUGCUCUUGGAACUGCGUGGCUGGAGUGCAGGAGGGGCAGGCGGAAUUCCUGGUGUAGCGGUGAAAUGCGUAGAUAUCAGGAGGAACACCGGUGGCGAAGGCGGCCUGCUGGACUGCAACUGACGUUGAGGCCCGAAAGCGUGGGGAGCAAACAGGAUUAGAUACCCCGGUACGA